rnacentral:tRNA from 1 species
GUCUGGGUGGCUCAGUCGGUUGAGCGUCCGACUCCGGCUCAGGUCAAUGAUCUCACGGUUCGUGGGUUCGAGCCCCGCGUCAGGCU